rnacentral:rRNA from 1 species
AUUGAACGCUGGCGGCAUGCUUUACACAUGCAAGUCGAACGGUAACAGGCCGCAAGGUGCUGACGAGUGGCGAACGGGUGAGUAAUGCAUCGGAACGUGCCCAGUCGUGGGGGAUAACUACUCGAAAGAGUAGCUAAUACCGCAUACGAUCUAUGGAUGAAAGCGGGGGACCGUAAGGCCUCGCGCGAUUGGAGCGGCCGAUGUCAGAUUAGGUAGUUGGUGGGGUAAAGGCUCACCAAGCCAACGAUCUGUAGCUGGUCUGAGAGGACGACCAGCCACACUGGGACUGAGACACGGCCCAGACUCCUACGGGAGGCAGCAGUGGGGAAUUUUGGACAAUGGGGGCAAGCCUGAUCCAGCAAUGCCGCGUGCAGGAAGAAGGCCUUCGGGUUGUAAACUGCUUUUGUACGGAACGAAACGGCUCUGGUUAAUACCCGGGGCUAAUGACGGUACCGUAAGAAUAAGCACCGGCUAACUACGUG